ACUGCUAUCGGAUUGAUACUAAGCCAUGCGAGUCUUUGUAGCAAUACAAGGCGGACGGCUCAGUAACACGUAGUCAAUCUAACCUAUGGACGAGGAUAACCUCGGGAAACUGAGAAUAAUACUCGAUAGAUCAUUAUACCUGGAAUGGUUUAUGGUCCAAAUGAAUUUCGCCAUAGGGUGGGACUGCGGUCUAUCAGCUUGUUGGUGAGGUAAUGGCCCACCAAGGCUAUAACAGAUACGGGCUCUGAGAGGAGAGGCCCGGAGAUGGGUACUGAGACACGGACCCAGGCCCUAUGGGGCGCAGCAGGCGAGAAAACUUUGCAAUGUGCGAAAGCACGACAAGGUUAAUCCGAGUGGUUCCUGCUAAAGGAAUCUUUUGUUAGUCGUAACACCACUGAUGAAUAAGGGGUGGGCAAGUUCUGGUGCCAGCCGCCGCGGUAAAACCAGCACCUCAAGUGGUCAGGAGGAUUAUUGGGCCUAAAGCAUCCGUAGCCGGCUUUGUUAGUUUUCGGUUAAAUCUAUAUGCUCAACAUAUGGGCUGCCGGGAAUACUGCAAAGCUAGGGAGUGGGAGAGGUAGACGGUACUCCGUAGGAAGGGGUAAAAUCCUUUGAUCUAUGGAUGACCACCUGUGGCGAAGGCGGUCUACCAGAACACGUCCGACGGUGAGGGAUGAAAGCUGGGGGAGCAAACCGGAUUAGAUACCCGGGUAGUCCCAGCUGUAAACUAUGCAAACUCAGUGAUGCAUUGGCUUGUGGCCAGUGCAGUGCCGCAGGGAAGCCGUUAAGUUUGCCGCCUGGGAAGUACGUACGCAAGUAUGAAACUUAAAGGAAUUGGCGGGGGAGCACCACAAGGGGUGAAG
rnacentral:rRNA from 1 species